rnacentral:rRNA from 1 species
GAUGAACGCUAGCGGCAGGCUUAAUACAUGCAAGUCGUGGGGCAGCAGGUUUGUAGCAAUACAGAUGCUGGCGACCGGCAAAACGGGUGCGGAACACGUACAGAACCUUCCUUUGAGCGGGGAAUAGCCCAGAGAAAUUUGGAUUAAUACCCCAUAGUAUAAUGAAGUGGCAUCACUUUAUUAUUAAAGAUUUAUCACUCGAAGAUGGCUGUGCGGCUGAUUAGGUAGUUGGCGGGGUAAAGGCCCACCAAGCCUGCGAUCAGUAACUGGUGUGAGAGCACGACCAGUCACACGGGCACUGAGACACGGGCCCGACUCCUACGGGAGGCAGCAGUAAGGAAUAUUGGUCAAUGGAGGCAACUCUGAACCAGCCAUGCCGCGUGGAGGAUGAAGGUCCUCUGGAUUGUAAACUUCUUUUAUAUGGGACGAAAAAAGGCUUUUCUAAGUCGUCUGACGGUACCAUAUGAAUAAGCACCGGCUAACUCCGUGCCAG